AGCAGCCGCGGUAAUUCCAGCUCCAAUAGCGUAUAUUAAAGUUGUUGCAGUUAAAAAGCUCGUAGUUGAAUUUCGGGAUCGAAUUGUUGGUCGUGCUUCGGUACGCACUGGCAUUAUCGGUUUCUACCUUCUGAAGAACCGCGAUGUCAUUAAUUUGGUGUCGUGGGGAAUCAGGACUGUUACUUUGAAAAAAUUAGAGUGUUUAAAGCAGGCUUACGCUUGAAUACAUUAGCAUGGAAUAAUGAAAUAGGACGUUUGAUUCUAUUUUGUUGGUUUCUAGGAUCGACGUAAUGAUUAAUAGGGAUAGUUGGGGGCAUUAGUAUUCAAUUGUCAGAGGUGAAAUUCUUGGAUUUAUUGAAGACUAACUACUGCGAAAGCAUUUGCCAAGGAUGUUUUCAUUAAUCAAGAACGAAAGUUAGGGGAUCGAAGACGAUCAGAUACCGUCGUAGUCUUAACCAUAAACUAUGCCGACUAGGGAUCGGAUGAUGUUAAUUUUUUAAUGACUC
rnacentral:rRNA from 1 species